rnacentral:rRNA from 1 species
GAAUCUUCCGCAAUGGACGAAAGUCUGACGGAGCGACGCCGCGUGAGUGAUGAAGGUCUUCGGAUCGUAAAACUCUGUUGUUAGGGAAGAACAAGUAUAAGGCGAAUAACCUUAUACCUUGACGGUACCUAACCAGAAAGCCCCGGCUAACUACGUGCCAGCAGCCGCGGUAAUACGUAGGGGGCGAGCGUUGUCCGGAAUUAUUGGGCGUAAAGGGUGCGUAGGCGGUCUCUUAAGUCUGAUGUGAUAGCCCACGGCUUAACCGUGGAGGGUCAUUGGAAACUGGGAGACUUGAGUGCAGAAGAGGAGAGUGGAAUUCCAUGUGUAGCGGUGAAAUGCGUAGAGAUAUGGAGGAACACCAGUGGCGAAGGCGACUCUCUGGUCUGUAACUGACGCUGAGGCACGAAAGCGUGGGGAGCAUAC